AUCUUGCUGGAGAUCCUUGCUUACCUGUGGCCUUCUGAAGAAUGCAAUAACUGAAUGACUCUCAACCAUGCACUCGUGAAACCUUGCUGUAACUUCUGCAUAUGAAACUCCAUUGACUCAUACUUUUAUAGUUUUCUCCUUGCUGUGAAGUUGAAAAUGGAAGAUUUGUAUUAGAAAGCUGAUGCAGAUCCGGUCCAAUCUAUCGUUCUGAUUUUUCAAACACCUGAGCCUGAAGUGGGGAAGCUUCUUCAUCUGUGUUCUUACACAACCUCUAUCAAGCAUCAGCUGGUCACAUGGGCAAGAUUUUCAAAAGUGGCCACUGAUUAUCUGUUUCCUUUAUAAUACAUGACUUUUCAGGUAGUACUGGCACUGAUUUUCUCAGUUAUAAAAUCAUAAGAAAGAGGGGCUGGAAGAAAAUUUGCAGUAGGGGACACAUAGAACUGGGACAAUCUGGAGCAAUGAAGAGGAGAGGGAAUGCAUAUAGCAGCUGGGAAAGUGGUGCGAGUGGAGAUGAAUUGGUGUCCAGUGUAAGGUGGUAUAUAGUCCCAGCACUUCUCAGAGCAUCCAACCCAUGCGCCAGCAUUUCUCUGACAAGAUUAAAUAACAAGUAAAGGUUUUCACAGUGAGAAUCCUAACUUUUCAUUUGAUUGGAUUUUAAUAAGGCACAAAUAAAUAUAUCAUAUAAGGAUACGUGAGAAAGUGCAGAGGUCAAAGGAGGAGACGUAAGAAAAGGUAUUCCUAUCCUCUUUCUGCUCCAUCAGGGUUCACAUCUUUACCUUGAUCGUUACCAUGAAAUAUAAAUUUCUUAUGGAGACACUUGCUGAAAUUUUUGUGGAUUGUUCUGGUGGCUCAGGCUGCAAAGAGAAGUGUGAUAUCCUCUGAAGCAGAUAACUGAAUGUGUUCCUGUAGGAGACUUAGAGAACUUAUAGACAACGCCUGAAGCCAGAAGACUUGACACCAGCCUCUGUCCUGGUCAGAUGUAUGUAGGUCAUAUUUUCAUAUGAGAGCUCCCUGUUGGACAGGAGCUCCUUACUCUUGUUAGCGUUCUACCACCUUGAUGAUAUAAGGUGCCCAUCAAAGUCUAUCAGAUCAAACCUCAUUUCAGUAAUCCCUGUUGAUGCGAGGUUAAGAACUUUAAACCAAUGCUGCAAAUUGCUGCAGUCUCACAGCUGCUGUAAACUGUAUCUUAUUUGGGCUGGAUCGAUAGGAUCCAAAGUCUCCUUAUAUUCUGCUCUUUCUUUCACCAAGAAAUAUGCUUGUUAUUAUUCUUCUGUCUUAAGCAAAGAUAUCAUGGUGCAGAGAAAUAGGGCAUCAUUAUUCUUCCCACAUAAAGCGUGGAAACCUUUACCCAUAGCACAUUUAUGCAGUAGCAUCCAAGCCUAUAUCUGUUCCUUGCUUAGAUCUGACUGCAGUCUGUCCCCUCAUCUCCACCUCAUAUAGGAGUGUCACGUAAGGGGAACAGCUCAUGAGUUUAAGUCUUCGUGGCACAUAGAAACGUUGGUGUUCCCUGUUAGGGUUUGUUGCAUGUGAGGAGUAAAUUAUCUUGCCUGUAAUAUUCUGGCAAUGAGUAUUUUUUUGGAGAUUGAUUAAAUGUUUCAGCUUUGCUCAGUCUAUUAAUCUCAGCAGCCAUUUAUUUUAUUGCUUUAUAUACUACAGUGCAUUUGGGACUAUCCCUUAAGCACUGUGUGUAGAAAGCAUGUAGCAGCAAGAUACAAAUCGUGCAUCUUGGAAAUGCUUCUCUGAAAAUGAAGAAAGGAUCUGUCAGUAAAAGGCACGAUGGUUAAUAUUGGUGCUGGAAGCCUCAACACUUUGUCAUCAGUAUCAUGAGCCUCCAUUUCCCACAGCAAAUGAAUGAUACAAACUAUGGAGAACCUAGUGUGCCACUGAUGCACAGACGUUGCACGUCUGUUAAUUCCU
rnacentral:lncRNA from 1 species